AUUGAACGCUGGCGGCAUGCUUUACACAUGCAAGUCGAACGGCAGCACGGGGGCAACCCUGGUGGCGAGUGGCGAACGGGUGAGUAACACAUCGGAACGUGUCCAGUUGUGGGGGAUAACCCAUCGAAAGGUGGGCUAAUACCGCAUGAGCUGGCAACAGGAAAGCGGGGGACCCGCAAGGGCCUUGUGCGAUUGGAGCGGCCGAUGUCCGAUUAGCUAGUUGGUGGGGUAAAGGCCUACCAAGGCUUCGAUCGGUAGCUGGUCUGAGAGGAUGAUCAGCCACACUGGGACUGAGACACGGCCCAGACUCCUACGGGAGGCAGCAGUGGGGAAUUUUGGACAAUGGGGGCAACCCUGAUCCAGCCAUG
rnacentral:rRNA from 1 species